rnacentral:lncRNA from 1 species
CCACGAGGAAGGAGGAAGCGGAAGAUGCUUUUGUCUUUCAAAAUAAAAUGGACUUUCACCACCUGGAGAGGGUGUGGUCCUGGAGCCUGGUGAAAAGGAGGGUCCCAGCUCUAGGAACUUUAGCGGGUAUCUCUGUCUGACUCUUCCCUUUCGAGCCGUCCCGGGCUCCGUGGGGUGGGGAGGGAGGUUGAGUCGGAAUGUGGUUCCCGCAGAGGCCAGGGCCCCUGAAUUAAGGAGCCGCUGGACUGGACAGGAGUGUUUGUGCCUCUUUGCACGUGGGGACCCCUCUGUGGCCGAAGCGUCCACUGCUGGCUUCCUAACUGGGGAUGCUUCCCAAACGUCCCAGCUUCCGGCUCCCCUCCCCCAAUGUUUCUAGUGGGUGGGGCUGCACCUCAGACACUAGGUGACGGUCGUCGUCGGGGAGAUGCUUGCCCUUGGUUUCAUGUGGCCUCAUCUCCUUUGAAGAAGAAAAACAUGUUUGCCUUGACUCAGCUUGGACUGCGGAAUUUGCAUGCUCUCCUUCGCCCCGUCGCAGUGGGAGGGGCACGAGUGAAGUGUGUGGUCUGCUGAUGAGUGUUUAUCUUCAAUCACCCAGCACUGCCCCCCCCUCCACCCCGCCACCCCAGACUCCACUCCGCUCCUUCUGCUCCACUGCCCUGGGGAGUCAGCAACCUGCUGGAGAGCCUCCUCCUUGGUUGGGGCUUAGAUGACGGGAUCUGGUGAAAGAAAGUCUGGUGAGGGGGGCUAGGUCUUGGAGAUGUGGAUUGGCACCAAGAGUAACCACAACAGCAAUAGUCAUAGCUAUCAUUUAUUGAACGCUUACAACGCUCAAGCCCUGGCCUAAACCUUUGACCCAGCAUCCCUCGUUUCAUCCUGGCAGCGAAGCUCCGAGGGUGGGCCAUCCGUAGUUCCAUUUUGCAGGAGAAGAAGUUAAGCCACAGAGAAGUUAAGACAUUUGCCUGAAGUCACACAGUUUGUCUGUGCAGAGCUGGGGUUGGAAUUCUGGCUGCGUGCCCUCGACCCUCUACGCCACUGCCUCUUAGAGGGAUGUGGCCUCUGAGAAUUCCCAGGCUGUCUGCUUCUGGGUUGCAGGGCUGGGGCUUGGAGGAGGGUCCUCUAAGAGGCCACCAUCAGAUCAGUUUAUGGGUGGGCUUGGGUAUGACAGAGGGAGUUGGACUUUGGAGUAAGCCACACCUGCAUUUCCAUCCCAGCCGUGCCACCUGCCGCUUAGGUAACUACCACCGGGUCCCUUAUUGUCUCGGCCCAUCCACGAACGGAGUAAAAUCCGGCCUCCCUGGAAGGGUGAUGGUUCACAUGCUCUGAGUGUGGCCGGUGUGGAGAAGCCACUCCAUAAACUUUGGGCUCUUUGCCUUCCUUCCUGGUGGCCUGAAUCCAUGAAGCUUGACCUGGUUUCUUUCUGGCUCUUGGCCUGUGAUUUCCCACAGGAUACAGUUGCAGGGCUCUUUCCAAGUGAUUCACUCUGAAUAGCGUCCGGGUGGGACACUGUUGGCUGGGCUGGGGUGCCUGUCCAGGGGCUCCGGCCCCACGGAGCCUUCCUCCCUCUGGGAGAGGCCACCUCCAGACCCCGAGGGGCCCUGCCCUUUGUGGCACCUGGAAGGAAAGGCUGAGGCCACCAGCUCCUCCAGGCUGCCUGGCGCCCCACCGGUCGAGCAGAGCAGGGAAGGGCGGCUGGCCUGGCUCCAGAGCAGCCCAGCAGGCCCAGCCAUGCAGGCUGCCCUCGCUCUGAGCCCCUUUAAUCCGGUGGCUGAGUGCAGUGAUCCAUGACGAGGGCUUCCAGGAGCCUCGCCGAGCCAGGCACCAGCGUUUCCACCCACCUCCGAGGGUGGUGGGGAGGUUGCCGCCUGGCUCCACAGAGCUGGCAGGAUGUGGGAGAUGCCACCAGGGGCCAGAGGCUGCAGUUGGAUGCACAGAGGUCCCUGGGAGGUCCCCCCUGGGUCACAGGAAGAAGGGUCUGAGCUGACAGUGGGGAAUAGUAUGCGGCGAACAUAGGAAAGGAUGGACGCCCUUGGGGACAGCCCCUGGCAGGUGCUGCUUCUGUCUGUCGUAGGCUCGCCAUCAUCAUCCCUGCGCUGCUGAGCCUUGUUCCAGCUCUUCCCGUCCCUUUCCUGCCUUUCCCCUCUGCCCUGACCUCAGGACAAUUUGAAAAGGUUUUCUGUCCAACAGAGGUCAGGUGGGGGGAAAGAGGUGCCUUAAUUCAGGCUCGAUCGUGCAGGGGGAGAACAGGGGUGCUGGUGUCACCCGAACCACAUGCUGACCUCAUCACAGGGCUGGUUGACUGCAGGUGGGUGACUUAGCCUCUCUGAGCCUCAGUUCCUCUAACACAGCACCUGCGGCAUGGAACAAGCCAGGAAUAAAUUCUCUUACAAUGUCCUUCCUCCUUGCCCCCAAGUAAUCCUGUGCCCCCCGUCCUGUGGCCUUCACAGACCCUCCUUGUCGGACCCCAUUCCAGGGGACCCUGUGGGAGCCCGAUGACCAGGCUGCGGCUGCCCCUCCCGAGGGAGGGGCCGGGUUGGGCCCACACGCUCGCUGGCCUACAGUUAGUCACAGGAUGGGGUGGAAAUCCAACUCGGAGCUGCUGGUCACACGUUCCUGGCGGCCAGCUGGGAGGUGGCCCCGGUCCCUGAGCACAGACACAGCUGAGCUUAAGUGACUGUGGCGAGGAGCCUGGCGUCUGGAAUAACACGGCCGCCCCUGAGGUUUGUGUCUCAUCACCUGGGAAGGUAGCCAAGCCAAAUCUGCAUCUCACUGUCUGUGGGCCUGGGGAGCCUAAGUUUGGUGCCUUCUCUGCAGGUCCUCAAGCCCCCACCUCCCCCAGAGGCCACUGGCCCUGAGGAGGUCACUUCUGGGGUUCAUCCUUUGGGCCACCCCGCUGCCUUCAUGAGGAUCACUCUCAGCAGAGCCUCCCCUGCCGCCUCAGCUUCCCUGUUCCAGAGGAAACUCAUCACCCACCUGGGAGAAAGGGGGCGCUACUGACUUGGGGCAGAAUCCCAGGAGAUCCUGGGAAUAGUCUCAGGAGAUUGCACCUGCUGGCCUGAAUGUGGAUGAGAGUUUCUGCCCAGUUGGGCCCCAAAAUGACCCCCCAGAGCCCUAAUUGGAAAAUAGAAUCUGAGCUAAGUUUUGUUUCUACUGCAGCAUCACCUCCUCCAGGGAGCCUUCCCUGACUUGUAUACAUUUAAACACGUUUUCCCCUGGGUUUAUAGCUUGCCCUAUGCUUCGCACUAUCCUGUGAAUCAGUUUGAAUAGUAAUCGCUUCCUUAUCUGUUUAGCCCCCUUGGCCAUGAACUCUGCAAAGGUACAGACUGUACCCCAGGCACCUAACACAGCCCUUGGCUCUCAGGGCAGGGGGUGGAGGAGGGGGCCUCAAGACAUGCCUGUUGAUGGGAUGCAUGGGAGGGGUCAGGAGGAAAGGUCACCCCCGUGAUGGACACGAGGGCUUUGGAGAUGAACAGGUUCCCAGCAUGUGUUCAAGAAACUCACCUUGGUGGGCAGGGUCCUGUGGUGGGCUGCCUGGGUUUCCGGCAUCUGGGAGACUCACCUGUGCUGGGAAGGAUAAGGUAGGCAGAGUAGGCAGCCAUCCUGCUCUAGGAGAUGCUGCCGGCAGCCCCCACUGGAGCCACUGACAUCGAGUUUGAUGCCACGUGGCAGAAUGAAUGCCCAGUUUCUAAAGCCUGGAGAGAAAGGGGUUGGGUCUGGCUGGAGAGCGACUCUGCCCGUAAGCUCAGGAGGGCAGGACCGUGGUGGGUGGGAGGAGCGGAUGGGCGGUGUGGGGAGACCACACCUUCAGGACAGCUAGCCAUGAGUCAGGCUUCUGGUCUCCAAAGGGCAAAAAUGAGAAGCCUGGUUUCAGUUACCAGGUCUUAGAUGCACAAACACUGUUUUGGAAGCAGGAGCUUGGGUCAUUUGAGGCCCUCUGCCAGCGUCUGAGUCUCCAGGUUUUGUUUUUGUUUAUAUUCUGAAGUGGAGGACUUGAGCUGGUAUCUCUUUGAGGAUACUCAGACCAUGUAGGUAUAGUCAUUGGCAGUAGCCCCCCCAAAACACUCUUUCUGGGUCCAGGGGCCCUGGGUUGAUGAAGGCUUGGGCCCUGCAUCGCUGGGUGGCUUCGGGGAAGUUGCUCAACUGUUCUGAGCUUCACCUAUUUAUGGCAAUGGAAGUCUUCAGCUUCAUGUAGCUUCCAGAGCUGGUACGGCAGUUAUAUCAGGUCAGAGAUGUUGGAAAGUAGCUUCCAAAAAAUGCUCUAAAAAAUGCCAGGUGCUGUUGGUAGUUGUUGCUGUUGGUGUUUGUUUCAAGCAGUGGUUAUCAGGGCUCAC